UUUCAGUUUCAAAUUGCUCUGAGAAAUGAAUUUUGAGACGUUUAUGUGAAUUUUGAGAGGUAUUAUGAAUUGGGUUUUGAAUUUCAGUCAGAGAAAUGAAUUUUCAUGAUAAUUUGUGGUUGGUAAGGAGUCACGUGAAUUUAGUAAAAGUUGUUUGAAGCUACAUCCCUGAAUUUCCAUGCAAAUAUUAUUAAGGGUGCAAGUUAGAAAUAUAGUUAGAAAGUUUGUUAGUAUUUGGUUAGAGUUGUUAGGCUUACUAGUAUAAAAACAAAGUGUGUAAUCUUCAUUCUUUAGUUAAUACAAAUCCUAUUACUCUCUCUAAAUUCUCUCUCUAGCAUCUCUCUUGCUUCUCUCUGUCUUCUUUCUCCUCCUCUGUACAAAUCCUUUAUCUUUGCAAUGUAGUUAACAAAUAUGCCUUACCUGGAGAGACUCCAUUUUUACUCGGCGUAUUCUUCUCGUGUUCCGUAGUCUUCUCACCGAUAUUGGAUACACCAGCCACCGAAUUAAUGAGUUUAUCUUUGAACAAAAUAAAAAAAAAAAACCGUCAGCCAGGAAAACCCAAACAGCACUAAAAACACUAGAAAAUGCUUGAAAUCGAAAUUUAUCUAAUAUCGAUGUUGUUUCUAGUUUCUACUCACAAAGUAACUAAAUAAAUAAUUACGCAUCUUUAUUGCUCUGAUUAAAAUUAUAGAAACUGAAAAGUCAAAGCUUUACAAGUAAGCAUCAGAGCUCAGCUAAUUGCAGUAUUACUUAGAUUCCAAAACAGAAACACAAAAUUAUAAAUGGAAAGAAUUACAAACACUUCCCAAUUGAAAAACCAAAGGAUCUCUAACUUUAGUACAUCUGUUUGGAUGGCGAGAAAACUGAGGGAAAAAUUCGAAUCGACAAACACUUGAAAAUUCACAAAUUUCACCCAAUAAACCCUAGGAUUCGCAGAAGACAAUAGAAAUGAACCUGGGGAGGGCGCCCCAUCCGAAGUGAACGAGUCGGGCAAUACGGCUGACCCUGAUCCAAGUCCUGGAGCUUGAGCCCGAAUCUGGGAGAAAAUUAGGGCAAGAAAAAUCGAGGGAAUGGCGAGCUUGGAGGGCGCCAUAGGAGCACUCAAUCAUAGCCAACGAAACUCUCACAGCGACAAUUUUUCGAGUUUUUUUUUUUUUUUUUUUUUUUUGAGUUCGCGUUCGAUCUCUUCCGACUACAAAUAUUAAAUAACGUUUUGGUUCCAAUCUUUUAUUACCUUAACGAAAAUGGAUGUAUAACUGUCAACUAAUAAAGCAUAUACGAUCAGUUUCCAAAAAAAUAAAUAAAGCAUAUAUGAGACCAACAAUUGUUUUUUUUUUAUAGAAAAAUUCAAAAUAUUAAAUCAAUUAGUUAUGAUUGAAACAGUAAUUUCAAAGAGUAAUAUUAGGGAGACUAAAUUUACAAACUAAAUAAUGCGUCAUCAAAAUGAAUGAGCACAUUUAUUAACUUUUAAGUAAUAAAUCAAUCAAAAGAUCCAUAUAUUUUAGUUUUCAAAACUUUAUCUAUAAAUUUAAUCUUCAUAACAUUACCCAAUUCCAAAACAACUGACUUAAUUGAUAUUACUUUCAUUUGUUGCUUUGAAUAAAAAAUAGAAAAAUAUUUUAUUAUUAUCAAAAAAAGGAAAAAGAUUUUAUUCUAAUUUAAAACAAAAGUAUGUACUGUAAUUAAAAAAAGGCUAAUUGGCAGAUGUGUGGGCGUGUUUGAAACAGAUAUGUAAUGUAACAUUCACUUUUGUACAAGCAAAAAUGAGUUGUUUGAUUUUGAAUUCUUUUUUUGGUGGAAAUUUUGAAUUUAAUUUUAUUACAAAAAUAUUGUCAGGUAUAAACAACAGGUGCACUUUUUAACACAAAAACAAUUAUGGUGUAUAUUGUAACAUCCCACACCGACCAACGGAGACGGGGUGAUAUGCCCUAUAUGUACAUGCCCAUCUCCAUAUAACACAAGACUUUUUGGGAACUCACCCGCUUCGAAUUCCAUCAUAACUCUGAAGUUAAGCGAGUUUGGGUGAGAGCAAUCAUAGGAUGGGUGACCCACUGAGAUGUGACAGAAUGGUAUCAGAGCCACUUUGCCGUUGGUGUGAGUGUGCUGACGAGGAUGUUAGGCCCCUAAGGGAGGUGGAUUGUGACAUCCCACAUAGACCAACGGAGAGGGGGUGAUGUGGCCUAUAUGUAGAUGCACACCUCCAUAUAGCACGAAGCCUUUUGGGAACUCACUGGCUUCAGAUUUCAUUGGAACUCCGAAGUUAAGCGAGUUUGGGCGAGAGCAAUCCCAUGAUUGGUGACACACUAGGAAGUUACUCGUGAAUUCCUAAAAACAAAACCGUGAGGGCGUGGUCGGGGCCCAAAGCGGACAAUAUCGUGUUACGGCGGAGUCAAGACUAGGAUGUGACGUAUGCUCACCAUACAACGCAUCAUAUGCCACGUGACCUUUCAUCUAACCUUGAUCGAUUUUUUCAAAAUUGAAAAAAGCAACAAAUUAACCAGAGUUAAAUAAAAUGACAUGUAUGAGAUGAUUAUUAAAAAUUAUAUUUAUAUUAACCUAAAUUUCCUUUAAUAUAAAGGAAAAUAGAUGAUAUAAAUUCCUACAUGAAAAGACAACAUAUAUGACUUUCAUUUUUCUCAAAUUUGAAGAUAAAUGUCAUAUUGAAUGCGGAAAAAAAAAAUUCCUUAAUUGAUGACUACCAUGAAAAAUAUCACUCUCAGUUUUUGAAAGAGCAUAAUUAAGGAUUUUUUUUUGCUACAAAAAGUCGAGGUAAAAGAUACAAUUUUUGUUGCAAGAGAUUCACAAAUACAAUUUUUUGACUAUUUGGCACAUGCUAACAACAAGGUGGUGCUGGUGAAUUAUAAAGAGAACCAAGUUUCUCAGAAACAUUUGCAUUUAAUUUGGAAAGAUAAACAUUUUAGGUCAUCCUCUAGCCAAAUUAGAUGAGGACCAUUAUAUUAAACAAGUUGAAUUAAAAAAUAAUUAUAUGAUGAUGGCAUGCUUGCAACAGCAGUAAAAUAUCAUUAAAAAUUUCCAUUAUUUGUUUUUGCAAGAGCGUGAAUUAAAGUAUUUUUUGCUGCAAAAAAUCGAGGUAAAAGAUAAGAUUUUUGUUGCAAGACCUUCAAUAAACUUGUUGGGUCGUACAUAUAUAUAUAUAUAUUUGGACCCUUAGACAGAUACUAACAAAAAGACGGUACUAAUGAAGCAAACAAGGUUUUUCCAAAAAGAUGUUAGCAACCUUUGCUCUAUAUUUGGAAAGAUAAACUUUUUAGGUCAUCCCUUGAAUUCAAAAUAGAAUCCUUCGUUGAUGACACGCUUAAAAGAGCAAUAGAAUAUCAUUGAAAAUCUCACUGCCAGUUUUUGAAAGAGUGUAUAUUGAAGUGUUUUUUCGCUUGAAAAAGUAGGGGUAGAUGAUUCAUAAAGGUAUCAUCUAAGACCAUUAUCAUUAAAGUGCCAUGGAAUUAUUACUUUUUUUUUUAUUAAUUGUAAAAAAAAUUAUUUUGUCUCAGGCACUUUUGUUUAAUAUUUUAUGCCCACCUGCUGUCUUUAUAUCAGUUACCAUUCCCAUUUUAUUUUAUUUUAAGUUUAUAAACUUUUAUUUCUAAUAUUAGAAAAUCAGAAGUCAAUUUUUGUGUCUAAAGGUUUCAUAAAAAAAUGAACGUAAUAGCCCCUCAAACCAAAAAAAAAAAAAAAAGGGACAGAAAAAAUAAAUUUAAAACCUUGAUUUUGUCAGAAAGAAAAAAUUAUAAUUCGUUUUAUUAGGAAAAAAAAAAGAUAAAAAAUGGGACGUGCUGAAAUCCUUGAUUUGUUUUCUUAUAAAAAAAAAAUGAGAUAAAAUGAAUUUAACCCAACCAACCAACACCACUUCUCCAUUUUAGGAGAGCGAGAGCUUCUAAUAUCUCACAUAAACAAAAAUAAGAAGAUACAAAAUAAAACGCAAUGAUAGUAUUGUAACAAAAAACAGAAACUUAAAAUUCUUUUUAUUGAAAAAAAUGAAAGAAAAAAAGAAAACCUAAUAAAAAAGGAUCGUGAUGAAUCCCUCAAAAGAUGGAAACUGAAAAAACUGCAACGUUCAAUGUAAAGCUGUUUCUUCAAAUUGAACUGCCAAUAUCUCCUUCCAUAAAUAUUUUCCCCGAGCUUCUGUAAAUUUUAAAUUUUAAAUUUCUGUUAUGAUCUACUUUUACACUAUGUUUGGAUGAAAGAAGUAAACUUGGAAUUUAGGUAAAAAUCAGAAUUUAUAAAUUGACAUGCAUCAAUUCCCUUGUUUGGAUUUAUAAACAUAGAAAUUUAGAAUUUCCGCGUGGAAAAUAACUUGGAAUUUAAGACCUCAAAUUCCCAAGUUUAAAUUCCAUGUAAAUAUGUAUCAUUUCCCAAUUUCUAUGACUAAGAGUUUAAAAAUAACAAAUUUCGUAUUCAAUUCCACAGUUCUUUUAGGUUUACCAAACAAGAAAAUUCACAAAUUCUAGAAAAUAAAAUCUCGUCAUUUCAAUUUCCGUCAUUUUCAAAUUCCUUAGUAAUCUUAAAUUUCUUCAUCCAAACAUAAUGUUAGCUUUUUUAUUAGAUUAUUGGUUUGCAGACGACCAUACAAUUUUGAAGCUGUUCACAGGUGGGGUUUUCGAUUUCUUCAUCAGAUAAAGGAAAGUGGUAUCUCAAGACUUUUUACCAGAAAUUUUUUUUUUUUAUAAUUAAUCAAUUAUCUAAUAUAUUUAUUUUUUAUUUAAUUUGGUUCUGUAAACAAUUAGGACAUCUGUGUGAAAUUAGGCAAAGGCAGUUUCUUGGUCUGCUACGAGAUGCUGAAUUUUGAUUUAAAAAUUAGGCACUAUCAGCAAUUGUUACAAGGAAAACUAAUUAAAAUAAUUUGAAAACUUUGAAUUUUAAAGAUAAGGACAAAAUAAAAGGUAAAGUGAAUAGUAUCAGGAUUGACUUUUUAGUGUAAAAAUAUAGUUUUUCGUUAAAAUGAACAGUAUCGGAAACUUUUCGUUAAAUUUUCCUAUAAUAUAUUGCAGUCUGUCUAAUAGUGAUAUCAGUUUAGUACACUUUUGUUUUUUUUUUCCCCCUUCAUUUCUGAUUUUCUCUAUCCCUCCCUCUCUCUAUGCUUUGGGUUUUGUAGUGUUUGAAUUCAUGAGUUUGUGUUUGUUCUGAUUUUCUCUAUCCCUGCCUCUCUCUCUAUGCUUUGGGUUUUGUAGUGUUUGAAUUAAUGGGUUUGUAUUUGUUCUUCGAUUAAUGCAGAAGAAUUAAUGGCGGCGGCAACAACUUCUAAAUUUUCAUAUUUUUCAGAUUCGUAGUUUUAUUAAAUGGGUGGUUGAAAUUUGAUCUAAAGGUGUUCUACAUCGGCAAUUCGACCGCGGGUGGAUGCUGCAUAUUGCAUUCAUGCUGUUUCAAAAAGAUUAAGCGAGACCCAUAAUUGGACGGUAUGCUCCCAUUCCAUUGCAAAUUUGCAAUGCCAUCCAUUUUAAUAUCGAUUUUGUAUUGCUGGUUAGUGGACUUAAUAUUUAAUGAUGUAUCUAUUUCCUUUGAAUUUCAAGUGGGGUUUGCUUAAUAUUGUUGCUUACCAUGCCAUACUAUAUUAUUUGAGUUUGCUUGGAAUUAAUUGGUCAAGUACAAAUGUAAACAUUUGACAAAAAAAAGUACAAAUGUAACAGUGUACGUUCUCCAUAGUAUGCUAUACUUAUGAAAAUAUCUUUACAUAAUGAAAAAAAAAUCUGUACGCCAUGAAAGAAUAUGAAUAAGAAUGAAGGGUAAAAAAACCAUAUUUCUUUUAACAUUGCAAAUUAGCGAACUUUUUGAAAGAGGUACAUAAUCAUUUUGAAUUUUUUACAAAUAUGACCUCAAUAAUUUUGAUUUUUUUUACAGCCCUCUCACCCAAAUUUAUAUUCUUUUUUGAGGCACCUAGCGCUCAUGAUAAAUAAAAAGCAUUUGACAAAAGAAGAAAUCGGUAGGGAAAUUACAUAUUAUGGAUUAAUCUAAAGUAAAAAAUAGAGGAAUUUAGAGCAAAAUUACAAAUAAACAUCAUGUAUUUAAAGGAUUUUUAGGGGCGCACAAAGUCUGUUAUUAAUGAAAUUAUGUAUACCGUGUGUAGCACUUCGUAGUAUAAAAACGCUUUUCACACUCAAGGCGAGUGCAAAGGCUAGUGUAUGGAGAAAGUGUGUCCCUCGUUGAGUAGAGGACCAAUUUAAAAUUCAACACCUAUCCAGGCGGCUGAUGUCCCAUUCAACGGCCACGAUUCUCCCACCGCACACGAUCCAAUGCCCACCAACAUUCCUUUAUUGCGCCCGACUUCCGGUUAAUUGGAUUUCGACCACACUAACCUCACCCGCUCACUGCACUAACCCCACCAAUCACCUCGCGACGCGUAACCUCAUUUUAUUAUUCCCGUGGGUUCCUUUUGCCGAUUGGACGAGCUCGCGAUCCAAACAGUCACCGGCCGUGGCGGAAGAUUCUAGGUUGCGUCGCAAAAACGACGGUAAUUCUCGUCGUUUCGACGAAAUUACGUAUCAGUCUCUUCUUCUCCUCAGAAAUUUUCAGUUCCAAAUUGCUCUGAGCUUUUCUUAUUCUGCUUUCGCUUCCGGAGCUCUCUGGGACUUCAGGUGGAUUAUAUUUCUCUGAUUAAUUUUGCUAAUUUCGGUUUUUUUCUUCGAAUUAUUUAUUGUAAUUUGCUGAUUAGUUGCAGUUUAAUUUGCUGAUGAAGUUUUGGGUGAUGACUUUUAUGUGAAAUUUGAGAGGUAUUAUGAAUUGGGUUUUGAAUUUCAGUCAGAGAAAUGAAUUUUCAUGAGAAUUUUUGGUUGCUAGGAGUUUAGGUGAAUUUAGUAAAAGCUGCUUGAAGCUGGCAUCCCUAAGUUUCCAUUUUUUGUUGGAUUACCAUUGUGAAAGAAGUUAACUUUGGAUGCACAUGUAAGUAUGAAUUACACUGGAGGAAAUUGGCGGUGAGUGAUCGAAAUUCCCAAGGGAAAUGGGAGUUAUGAACUAGAUUCGUAUGAGUAUUCGUAUUCGGGUUGUUCUAAGUUUGAGUUCAUGUUCAUGAGCUUGAUGUCGGCACAUUUUCCGUAUAAGAACACUUGAAAGGUUUGGUUUUGGUGGUGUUGUUUGAAGCUGUAUCAAUAAAUUUCAAAUCUUGUUGAAUUCUCAUUGUGAAAGAAAUUACCUUUCUAUGCGUUGCAUCCAAAAAUUACCAUUGUGUGCCCAUACAUGUACACGUUUCAAUGGAGGAUAGAUGGCGAUAUUUUAUACUAGAAUAAAUUGUAGCAAUGGUCCUUUAAUUUUAAUCAAAUUGGAGC
rnacentral:lncRNA from 1 species